UUCCUUUAUUCCACGACUACAUCCCGUUCCCACCACUACCGACGGCGCGUUCGUUCUUUUCGCCUUCUUUUCCUCCUCUUCCUCUUCUUCUUCUUCUUCCACUGCGCUCUCGCACCGCCUCGGCCUUCCUCUUUCUGCUUCUCGACCCUCCAAAAGAAGAAUAAUCGAAUUUUAGUCCCUGUCCUCGUCUCCGGCUUCCUGUUUGGAGAUCACUAAGCGAGUCGGUGCGUGUCUUCUCCCUUUUAGCAUUCGCGUCCGCCUCCAUCGCUCGCUCUUCUAUCAUUAGGGUUAGGGUUUUGGGAACGGAUGGAGAGGAAACAAGGGUUCUUCUCGGCGCUGCGGGAGGAGGUGGCGCGGGGGCUGUCGCCGGGGAGGUCGAGGUCGGAGAACCCGUCGACGGUGGCGGAGCUGCUCCUCCCUCGACGGUGGAGACGCCAGCCGCCGCGGGGGUUUCCGGAUGAGUUGUUGGUCCCGGCGUCCGGGAGCCUGGCGCCGCUGGCGGAGGGGCCGGAGGGGGAUGACUUGGGGCGCAGGAAGGAAGGGUGGGGGCGGUGGGUGAAGGGGCAGCUCUCUCGUGCCCCAUCCGCCUCCUGCCGUAGCUCGGAUCUCCGCUUCCUCCUCGGCGUCAUGGGGGCGCCUCUGGCCCCCGUCCACGUCUCCCCCACCAACUCGCUCCCUCCACUCAGCAUCAAGGACACUCCCAUUGAAACAUCGACAGCUCAAUACAUACUACAGCAGUACACAGCGGCAACAGGUGGGCUGAAGCUUCUGAGCUCCAUCAGAAAUUCAUAUGCAAUGGGGAAGGUGACGAUGGUGGUAUCCGAGUUUGAAACGGCGUCUAGGGUCAUCAAAAAUCGCUGUUCACCCAAGGAUGCAGAGUCUGGUGGAUUUGUCCUCUGGCAGAUGGCACCGGACAUGUGGUACGUCGAACUUGCCAUCGGUGGCAGCAAGGUCCAUGCUGGUUGCAAUGGCAAGCUUGUUUGGCGCCACACUCCCUGGCUUGGUGCCCAUGCUGCCACGGGCUCUGUUCGACCCCUCCGUCGAGCACUCCAGGGUCUUGAUCCUUUGGCCGUCGUGAACGUGUUUGCUGAUGCACAGUGCAUUGGGGAGACGAAGAUCGAUGGAGAAGAUUGCUUCAUCCUCAAGCUCUGUGCAGAUCCACAGACACUGAAGGCUAGGAGUGAAGGUUCUGUAGAGAUCAUUAGGCAUGUCUUCUUUGGUUACUUCAGCCAGAAGACUGGGCUUCUUACUUGUAUGGAAGACUCACAUCUCACUCGAAUCCAGUCGAGUGCUGGAGGUGAUGCUGUGUAUUGGGAGACCACCAUCAACUCCAGAAUUCAUGACUACCGCCCUGUUGAGGGCAUGAUGAUCGCCCAUUCAGGGCAUUCGGUGGUCACCCUUUUCCGGUUUGGUGAAGUGGCCAUGAGCCAUACAAAGACAAGAAUGGAGGAAGCUUGGAGCAUCGAAGAAGUAGCCUUUAAUGUCCCAGGUCUCUCGAUGGACUGUUUCAUUCCUCCAGCUGAUGUAAAAAAAGAUGGAUCAGUCAGUGAAGCCCGUGAGCUACCACCUCAAGCAGAGAGGGGGAGAAGCACCAUGGCUGGAAGUCACAGGGCUAAAGUUGCAGCGCUGGAGAAGUCACAUGAUGUUUCUGAUGAUAACAUCUGGUGGAGGGUGGAGGUCUAAUGCUAAGGAAGUGAACUCAAUUUGUCGAUAAUCGCAGCUAUUUUUCUUAAUCAGACUAACUCAGCAUAAACUGGAGUUGUGCCACUUGUUGCAGGGCCUCAUUUGCUGAAUUCCUUUGUUGAUGGAACAGGGCAUGGCUACCUUUCACAGCCCAGGUAAUAAGGUAACAUCGACAGUUCAAGGAAGCUUCUUUGGACAUCCCUCAUUCAUGUGUGUACCCUCACCUUUUCCAGUGGGACAGUGGGGACCUAUGUCAUUGAUGGGAGAUAUGUCAUCGGGGAACCCAAAAGGAGCAGACACAAGAAGUGAGGAUCCAAUGUUCACUGCCCUUUUCCAAAAUAUUAGCUUGUGAUGCCCCUGAAGAAAGGAAGCAGCAAACAUGAUGAACCUCUCAGGUAGUCGGAUCUUUCCAUUCAUGCCAAGCAUGACAGGAAGCAAACAUCACUUGCUUUGCAGGCAAGACUUCCAAGUUCUUUGUUCCUGUGCAAGCUGUGAUAUGUCAGACAAGCGGAUGUAAAGUAAUCAGUAUCAUCUUUAGCCGAAGGCAUUCAGAUGGGAUGUCAUGCUCCACUUGGCUAGAAAAGAAGAUGGACUUGAUUCAAAGCCUCGAAAAUGGGGGACAAAAGACUUCUUAUCCUCAGGUCUGCAUCACCCUUUUAGCAAAGCAACAAAUUUCAUUGACUUCAAGAGACUUAUCCUCAGAUCUGCAUCACCCUUUUAUCAAAGCAACAAAUUUCAUUGACUUCAAGUGAACCUCUAACUUCAGAGAGUCUGCAUGACCAGCUGAUGUUGCUGGCUUUUUUGCGCAAUAUCCACAACAAACAAAAGGGCUUGUUUUUUUUAUUUUAUUUUAUUUUUCCCGAUAGAAUUUGAUUGUCGAAUGUGUGGAGGGAUUGGAAGUCAAUCUUGUGAAUAUUGAGUGGGUUUCAUAAAGGAUCUUUAAAAAAAGGGAACUGUAUCGAAGGUAUCAUCCGACAAGAUCCAUUUGAUGUAUAAAUCCGUAAAGGAUUUAUAUGAUUCAAUCAAGUAUUGAAUACGAAAGAUACAACUCACUAUAAAAACGAACCGUCUUGAGAAUAUUUCCAAGGAUCUUUUUAGUAUGAUAUUUUUACCUAUUAGUUUGAG